AAGCUCGUAGUUGAAUUUCGGGAUCAGUUGAUCGGUCGUGCCUCGGUACGUACUGGUCAAAUUGAUUCCUACCUUCUGACGAACCACGAUGUCAUUAAUUUGGUGUCGUGGGAAAUCAGGACUGUUACUUUGAAAAAAUUAGAGUGUUUAAAGCAGGCUCGCGCUUGAAUACAUUAGCAUGGAAUAAUGAAAUAGGACGUUUGAUUCUAUUUUGUUGGUUUCUAGGAUCGACGUAAUGAUUAAUAGGGAUAGUUGGG
rnacentral:rRNA from 1 species